rnacentral:misc_RNA from 1 species
UUGUGGAGGAGGACGCCGAAGGUGGGGCUAAUGACUGGGGUGAAGUCGUAACAAGGUAGCCGUACCGGAAGGUGCGGCUGGAUCACCUCCUAACAGGGAGACAACAAAAUGUUAAAUAUUAAUUUUGUCACCUUAGGUCGAUCGGUAUCUCACAUUUUUAAUUUAUUAAGAAUUUUAUUUCCUAAGUUUUUUCUAGGUCACACCCAUUACUUUCCCUGGGCCAUUAGCUCAGGUGGUUAGAGCGCACCCCUGAUAAGGGUGAGGUCCCUGGUUCAAGUCCAGGAUGGCCCAUAUCUCUAUGUUGGGGGUAUAGCUCAGUUGGUAGAGCGCCUGCUUUGCAAGCAGGAUGUCAGCGGUUCGAGUCCGCUUACCUCCACUGAUUACCACCUCUUCCAUAUUUCAAAGAAGGGAAAUGUUUUGAGUUUUGAUCAAAUUCUGAACGAAUCUAGCUUCCUAAUAAAUAAUUAUUAAGAUGCUGGACUCAUUGAAUUAAAUUCAUUGUUUUCAGAGAACCUUGACAACUGCAUAGAUUAUUAUUUAAAGACAAUAAGCAUCUUUGAUGAUGCAGAUUUAUUAUUUGUGCGAAUGCAUUAAUAACAAUUCUAUUAAGCUGAUGCUUCAAUUUUGAAGUUAUUGGUCAAGCUACAA